AGAGGGUGCAAGCGUUAAUCAGAAUGACUGGGCGUAAAGGGCGUGUAGGUGGUUGACUAGGUUUGAUGUGAAAUCCCCGGGCUUAACCUGGGAAUUGCGUCGAAAACGGGUCGACUUGAGUGAGAUAGAGGGUUGUGGAAUUUCCGGUGUAGCGGUGAAAUGCGUAGAUAUCGGAAAGAACAUCAGUGGCGAAGGCGACAACCUGGAUCUUAACUGACACUGAGGCGCGAAGGCGUGGGGAGCAAACAGGAUUAGAUACCCUGGUAGUCCACGCAGUAAACGAUGAGAACUGGCUGUGAUGUGUAGGGAGCAAUCUCUGCAUGACGUAGCGAASUAACGCGUUAAGUUCUCCGCCUGGGGAGUACGGCCGCAAGGUUA
rnacentral:rRNA from 1 species